rnacentral:rRNA from 1 species
UGCGCGUCAGAAUGUGAACUGCAGGACACAUGAACACCGAUACGUUGAACGCAUAUUGCACAUCGCACGACACAGUGCGAUGUACACAUUUUUGAGUGCCCAUCCUCACCGCAUAG